CAGAGCUCUGCCUGUAUUUUGAAAAGAAAUCUGCUGGGACAAGAACUAAGAAAAUGAAAUACAAGACAGGAGCUCAGAAAGUGAGAGUAUGCAUAAGAGAAUAAAGGAAGGAGAGUCGAAUGGGAUAAAUAAAACAGUUGGAUACAAGAAAGCAAGAAAGCACACGGCUGCAAGCUAAAAGAGAAAUCUCAUUGCCAACUCAGAAGAAACUCCUGAGGCUGAUUACAAGAUUCAAAUCAUCUGCAGGUCUGUGCAUUAUUACCUAACUGCAGCCAUAUGAACCUGCAUGUAAGAAGACACAGAGGUUUUUAAAUCAAGUACACAAAGAAGAAAACAUCUCCAGAUUUUUCAUUCAGUUCUCCUAACUUUGCAAGAAAAAUAUUUCCCAUACCAGCUAAGGAGAAAUUCCAGUCAUUUACAUCCAGGAAGCUGAUUGUUGAGUGAACUGAAAGAGUGACAAGAACCAAAACAGAAAGUUGCCAGAUACACCAAGAAGCUAAAGUGGUUUGGUUUCAUUAUUUGAGUGAAAUUAGAAUCACUCAACCCUCACAUCACAAGAUAAUUAUGCAUUAUGCAUGUCAAGUAGAAGUGUGCACCUAUACGCUGUUCUUUGCUUUUCAUAAGAUUUGCCUUAAUAUUCUGUUGUUUUAAACUAGUGUGCACAGUAAUUAUUGCCUGUGGUGUCUCCUUGUUAUUUCUGAUUUCUCUGUUCAAUUAACCUUGGGGACCAUACCUGCAUUGUAAAUCACAGUGAUUCCUGUAAGUCUCAGUGCAUUAAUUUUCCUACUCAUUCUUCAGGGAAAGGUGUGGUGUACCUUUCAUAGAAGAAGCCAGAGACACUAUGCCCUUUAAACUGAAGAUGGUCACAAUCUCUGCAGGUGUCCCUUGUCUCUUUUCUAUUAUCUAGCUCCCUCUGGCCCCAAAUAUCAACACAGCUUCCAAAAACCUUCUUCUGACUAGACUGACUGUGGUUGUCAUGCCCUCACUUACACCAUCCCUGCGCUUCUUAUUUCCCAGAGAUGGAAACCUACAGAGUAGUUUCCACAGGGUCAGCACAUUGAAAUCUGAAGGCAGAAAUCCUAUUUUCACAGGCACAAGCUUUGUUCUGCCUUUGCAGUUUGCCUUACAUAUUGGGGUUUUGCUCUGUUAGGGCUUGAGGGGGAGGGGCUUGUGUGGAGGUUUUUUUUUUUUUUAAUAAUAGGGAGAUCAGCACAAAAACAAAAUCUCAUAUUCACCAAUGAAGAAGACUGUGUAUGUUUUGUUGCAUACAUUUACUGAGAGCCAUUGCCACUCAGCUAGGCUGAAAUUUUCUGUCUGCAUAAAAUGUCAGCAGCAGGUUUCAUUUUAAAAUUGGAAAUUAAUAUUCUAAAGAGGAGAUGAAGUUAGAAACCCAGGAAGAAUAAUAAUUGUUUCACUAAUCUUCAUUUCUAUUUGUAAGAAUGAGGACAUGUCUACUCAGCAAGGCUAAAGCUGAAAUA